rnacentral:rRNA from 1 species
UCGAGUGGCGAACGGGUGAGUAACACGUGGGUGAUCUGCCCUGUACUUUGGGAUAAGCCUGGGAAACUGGGUCUAAUACCGAAUAUGACCACUUCUUGGAUGGGGUGGUGGAAAGCUUUUGCGGUAUGGGAUGAGCUCGCGGCCUAUCAGCUUGUUGGUGGGGUAAUGGCCUACCAAGGCGUCGACGGGUAGCCGGCCCGAGAGGGUGUACGGCCACAUUGGGACUGAGAUACGGCCCAGACUCCUACGGGAGGCAGCAGUGGGGAAUAUUGCACAAUGGGCGCAAGCCUGAUGCAGCGACGCCGCGUGGGGGAUGACGGCCUUCGGGUUGUAAACUCCUUUCGCAACCGACGAAGCUUUUGUGACGGUAGGUUGAGAAGAAGCACCGGCUAACUACGUGCCAGCAGCCGCGGUAAUACGUAGGGUGCGAGCGUUGUCCGGAAUUACUGGGCGUAAAGAGCUCGUAGGUGGUUUGUCGCGUCGUUUGUGGAAUACCGCAGCUUAACUGCGGGGUUGCAGGCGAUACGGGCAUAACUUGAGUGCUGUAGGGGAGACUGGAAUUCCUGGUGUAGCGGUGGAAUGCGCAGAUAUCAGGAGGAACA